rnacentral:lncRNA from 1 species
AUCUCAGCCCAGUUCGGAAGAAAGAAGGCACUCUGGGUUUUUGAGUUGUUAGGCUUCUUAUGCUGAAUCUUUCUCAUUUUUGUGGGAUUAUUUUCAUUCAAUAUUUGAGGUGCUGAUCUUUGGAUGGGUGUUAUUUUCUUUUCUCCUAUUUGAUGCCCUUGAGGAGCUGAUUGUAGUAUAAGUGAAUCAGAGUUCCUGUUGCUCCAGAUUCUCAAGAACAUAUGAUGUCAUCAGUGUUUUAGGUUUUGGUCAUUACAACAGGCAUUAUUGGCAAGUGGAAUGAGAACAAGAAGAGAUCCAAGGCUGAAUUCUGCAGUUUUUGGCUUCAUUCCAACUUGAAUUUAUAUAGAAUAUUUUCAAUCUGUGGUUGGUUGAAUCCACAGAUGCAAAACCCACAGACGUGAGGGCUGAUUCUACGUGCAAACUGGCCACAAAAGUCCUGGCUGUCUUCAAAGCUGCAUCCUAACGAGGGCAGAGUACCUGGUACAAUGAAUCUGAUUGUAAUUUACAAGAAAAUCACCUCUACUGCCUACAAUAUGUUACCUCAUUUGUUUCCCAGUUCCUAAUUUGUACCCUUAGAUUCUUAGACCAUAAAGUAUUUCCUGAAGGAAUAGAGGGCUCCAAGUGGGAUGAUUUGAGUAGUUCAUUUUGGUGGCUUUUGUUAUGGAAAUAUGUGAGGAUGGUUGAACUUUAGUACUGAUUUUUCAUUCACAUGACAAGAAUGCCUACAUAAAUCAUGUUGCUCUCCCAUUUAAGUAAUUACUAGGUUUGAAGCCAGUUAAAACAAAUGAUAGAAGAUAUUUUAGGUUAAACAACAUGGUUUUGCUUUCAUUGACAUCAACCAUAAUAGGCCUAAAAAUAUAAGUGCAGAAAAGCAUGUUAGUAUCUUUUAUUUCUUUCAAGUAUAUUCAUUUAGUUGACUUUUUCAAAUAUAUUUUAGCUUAUUUUGCCUUCUGAUAAGAAUAGGACAAUUGAAGAAAAGGUUUUCUCACUUCCUUAACAUUAUGAAAGAAUUUUAUUUUGGAAUUGCCUGAGAGGUAAAUGGAAAAUAUGCUCAGUUGGCCCAAAUUCUUUAUUAAACAACAUUAUAAGUGAAAAUCUGUUUUCCCUGCUAUUAUCUGAGUGCUAUGCUUAAAGAAACAAAUAAACAUCCUGACAGUUGACAGACAGGAAA